rnacentral:rRNA from 3 species
UGCAGUCGAGCGGACAGAUGGGAGCUUGCUCCCUGAUGUUAGCGGCGGACGGGUGAGUAACACGUGGGUAACCUGCCUGUAAGACUGGGAUAACUCCGGGAAACCGGGGCUAAUACCGGAUGCUUGAUUGAACCGCAUGGUUCAAUUAUAAAAGGUGGCUUUUAGCUACCACUUACAGAUGGACCCGCGGCGCAUUAGCUAGUUGGUGAGGUAACGGCUCACCAAGGCAACGAUGCGUAGCCGACCUGAGAGGGUGAUCGGCCACACUGGGACUGAGACACGGCCCAGACUCCUACGGGAGGCAGCAGUAGGGAAUCUUCCGCAAUGGACGAAAGUCUGACGGAGCAACGCCGCGUGAGUGAUGAAGGUUUUCGGAUCGUAAAACUCUGUUGUUAGGGAAGAACAAGUACCGUUCGAAUAGGGCGGUACCUUGACGGUACCUAACCAGAAAGCCACGGCUAACUACGUGCCAGCAGCCGCGGUAAUACGUAGGUGGCAAGCGUUGUCCGGAAUUAUUGGGCGUAAAGCGCGCGCAGGCGGUUUCUUAAGUCUGAUGUGAAAGCCCCCGGCUCAACCGGGGAGGGUCAUUGGAAACUGGGGAACUUGAGUGCAGAAGAGGAGAGUGGAAUUCCACGUGUAGCGGUGAAAUGCGUAGAGAUGUGGAGGAACACCAGUGGCGAAGGCGACUCUCUGGUCUGUAACUGACGCUGAGGCGCGAAAGCGUG